CACGUAGGCACCAAGCGUUGUCCGGAUUAUUGGGCGUAAAGAGCUCGUAGGCGGUUUAGUAAGUCGGGUGUGAAACUUUGGGCUUAACCCAAAGCGUGCAUCCGAUACUGCUGUGACUAGAGUUCGGUAGGGGAGCGAGGAAUUCCUAGUGUAGCGGUGAAAUGCGUAGAGAUGUGGAGGAACACCGAUGGCGAAGGCAGCCCCCUGGGUCAAGAUUGACGCUCAUGCACGAAAGCGUGGGAGCAACAGG
rnacentral:rRNA from 1 species